rnacentral:rRNA from 1 species
CCUACGGGUGGCAGCAGUGGGGGAUAUUGCACAAUGGGGGGAACCCUGAUGCAGCGACGCCGCGUGGGUGAUGGAGCGUUUCGGCUCGUAAAGUCCUUUUGUUAGAGAAGAUUAUGACGGUAUCUGACCAAUAAGCCCCGGCUAACUCCGUGCCAGCAGCCGCGGUAAUACGAAGGGGGCAAGCGUUACCCGGAUUGACUGGGCGUAAAGGGGGCGCAGGCGGGAAUGUAAGCCAGGAGUGAAAGUCCGUGGCGUAACCACAGGACUGCUCUUGUAACUGCAUGGCUGGAGUACGGGAGGGGCAGGCGGAAUUCUUGGUGUAGCGGUGAAAUGCGUAGAUAUCAGGAGGAACACUCGUGGCGAAGGCGACCUGCUGGAAUGUGACUGACGUUGAGGCACGAAGGCGUGGGGAGCAAACAGGAUUAGAUACCCGGGUAGUC